rnacentral:rRNA from 1 species
GACGAACGCUGGCGGCGUGCUUAACACAUGCAAGUCGAACGAAGUGGCGAACGGGUGAGUAACGCGUAAUCAACCUGCCCUUCAGAGGGGGACAACAGUUGGAAACGACUGCUAAUACCGCAUACUGAUGGAGGGGAUUGCGUCUGAUUAGCUAGUUGGAGGGGUAACGGCCCAACAAGGCGAUGAUCAGUAGCCGGUCUGGGAGGAUGAACGGACACAAUGGGGAUGGGAAAAGGCCCAGACUCCUACGGGAGGGAGCAGGGGGGAAUCUUCCGAAAUGGAGGAAAGUCUGACGGAGCAACGCCGCGGGAGUGAUGACGGCCUUCGGGUUGUAAAGCUCUGUUAAUCGGGACGCGGUACCGGAAUAGAAAGCCACGGCUAACUACGUGCCAGCAGCCGCGGUAAUUC